rnacentral:rRNA from 1 species
UACGGAGGGUGCAAGCGUUAUCCGGAAUCAUUGGGUUUAAAGGGUCCGCAGGCGGUCUUAUAAGUCAGUGGUGAAAGCCUACAGCUCAACUGUAGAACUGCCAUUGAUACUGUAGGACUUGAAUUCGAUCGAAGUGGGCGGAAUAUGACAUGUAGCGGUGAAAUGCUUAGAUAUGUCAUAGAACACCGAUAGCGAAGGCAGCUCACUAGGUCUGGAUUGACGCUCAGGGACGAAAGCGUGGGGAGCAAACAGGAUUAGAUACCCUGGUAGUCCACGCCGUAAACUAUCAAUACUCGUUCUCAGCUCUUUAGGAGUUGGGGACCAAGCGAAAGUGAUAAGUAUUGCACCUGGGGAGUACGAUCGCAAGGUUG